rnacentral:rRNA from 1 species
UUACACGGUUCGUAGGUGAACCUGCGGAAGGAUCAUUAUCUAUUCCAUGAGGUGCGGUCGCGGCCCUCGGCGGGAGCAACAGCUACCGUCGGGCGGUAGAGGUAACACUUUCACGCGCCGCAUGUCUGAAUCCUUUUUUUACGAGCACCUUUCGUUCUCCUUCGGCGGGGCAACCUGCCGUUGGAACCUAUCAAAACCUUUUUUUUGCAUCUAGCAUUACCUGUUCUGAUACAAACAAUCGUUACAACUUUCAACAAUGGAUCUCUUGGCUCUGGCAUCGAUGAAGAACGCAGCGAAAUGCGAUAAGUAGUGUGAAUUGCAGAAUUCAGUGAAUCAUCGAAUCUUUGAACGCACAUUGCGCCCCUUGGUAUUCCAUGGGGCAUGCCUGUUCGAGCGUCAUCUACACCCUCAAGCUCUGCUUGGUGUUGGGCGUCUGUCCCGCCUCUGCGCGCGGACUCGCCCCAAAUUCAUUGGCAGCGGUCCUUGCCUCCUCUCGCGCAGCACAUUGCGCUUCUCGAGGUGCGCGGCCCGCGUCCACGAAGCAACAUUACCGUCUUUGACCUCGGAUCAGGUAGGGAUACCCGCUGAACUUAAGCAUAUCAUAGACGCGGAGGAAA